rnacentral:rRNA from 1 species
CCUACGGGAGGCAGCAGUGAGGAAUAUUGGUCAAUGGGCGCGAGCCUGAACCAGCCAAGUAGCGUGAAGGAUGACUGCCCUACGGGUUGUAAACUUCUUUUAUAAAGGAAUAAAGUGAGGCACGUGUGCCUUUUUGUAUGUACUUUAUGAAUAAGGAUCGGCUAACUCCGUGCCAGCAGCCGCGGUAAUACGGAGGAUCCGAGCGUUUUCCGGAUUUAUUGGGUUUAAAGGGAGCGUAGAUGGGUUGUUAAGUCAGUUGUGAAAGUUUGCGGCUCAACCGUAAAAUUGCAAUUGAUACUGGCAGCCUUGAGUGCGGUUGAGGUAGGCGGAAUGCGUGGUGUAGCGGUGAAAUGCUUAGAUAUCACGAAGAACUCCGAUUGCGAAGGCAGCUUACUAAACUGCCACUGACAUUGAGGCUCGAAAGUGUGGGUAUCAAACAGGAUUAGAUACCCUAGUAGUC